AUUGAACGCUGGCGGCAGGCCUAACACAUGCAAGUCGAACGAGUGGCGGACGGGUGAGUAAUGUCUGGUAAACUGCCCGAUGGAGGGGGAUAACUACUGGAAACGGUAGCUAAUACCGCAUACCAUCGGAUGUCCCCAGAUGGGGUUGGCUUGUAGGUGAGGUAACGGCUCACCAAGGCGACGCUCCCUAGCGGGUCUGCGCGGGUGACCGGGCACACUGGAACUGAGACACGGCCCAGAGUCCGACGUGAGGAAGCAGUGGUGAAUGUUCCAAAAUGGGAGCAAGCCUGAUGAAGCCAUGCCGCGUGGAUGAAGAAGGCCUUCGGAUUGUAAAGUACUGUCAGCGGUGAGGCGGUACCAGCAGAAGAAGCACCGGCUAACUCCGUGCCAGCAGCCGCGGUAAUAC
rnacentral:rRNA from 1 species